AUACGGAAGGUCCGGGCGUUAUCCGGAUUUAUUGGGUUUAAAGGGAGCGCAGGCGGAGAUGCAAGCGUGACGUCAAAUUUCAGGGCUCAACCCCGUCUCGCGUCGCGAACUGCGUCCCUUGGUUGCGGGAAGGGGAGGCGGAACUCGUGGGGUAGCGGUGAAAUGCAUAGAUAUCACGAAGAACUCCGAUCGCGAAGGCAGCCUUCCGGCCCGUCAACGACGCUCAUGCUCGAAGGUGCGGGUAUCAAACAGGAUUAGAUACCCUGGUAGUCCGCACAGUAAACGAUGGACACCCGCGGUUUGGCCUGUAUGGCUGAGCCGCCAAGCGAAAGCGUUAAGUGUCCCACCUGGGGAGUACGCCGGCAACGGUGAAACUCAAAUGAAUUGACGGGG
rnacentral:rRNA from 1 species